CAACAGAUUCUGUUGCAUUCAUUCGCUCUUGAUACUUCACAUUGUGAAGAGUAGAAUACUAUAGUCAUUGUGUGUAAGCAUGUCACAACCACGAGAAAAAAAAUUGACCGUCUCUAACGAUGGAGAAUACAAAACAGUUAUUGAAAUAUUGAAGGACCAAAAGAUAUCAUUCCAAGUAAAAGAUGAGGCCGCCCGGAAACUAAUGUUCGCGGAUGAGGCCGAGUUCAAUGAAGCCGUUAAACUCUGCGAGAAGAAUGGAAUCAAGGUGGUUCAGGCUACAUGUAUGUAAGAAAGCAGUGACUCGGAAGUGUAGACCAAGUUAAAAGACGGCAUAUGCAGUUAACUGGUGACACUUAUGACUCCGGACAUUUACAAUUAGAUAAAAAUUAAUUGGUUUCACAAACAAACAACAAGAAAUGGACAAAAGAAAGUAAAAUAGAUAUUAAUUAGACACAAGUGUGUUUAUUAAAGACCCAAAGUUACAGAUGACCUGAUCAAUUCCUCCCAAAAUAAAAACAUGCUUAAAACCCGAUAAAUUCAUAAUUAUGCAUAUAUAACAUUAAAUUUAAUAAUUCUUUACAACUUUCAUUUUUUUCCAAAUACGAAAAUGUGAGGCAUAUCUGUAACAAUGGACCUUUGAAACGACUAUUUAGCUGAUAUGAUUUUUCAUAUCAUAAUUAUGUUUAAGUUCGCAUUAUAUUAUGUCACACAUUUAUGCAUUAUAACUUUCGCCAUAUUUGCUGUGAAUGUGAAUGUACCACAUGGGUUUAUGACCUGAUUUAAAUUGAAAUACACUUGUCAAAUUUGUCAAAACCUAAGGUUAGAAAUAUUUCUCAAAUAUGAUCUUUUAAAUUCGCAUUCUUUAUCUUCAGAGAGUUUUUGAAUGACGAAAUAUAUUAAUCUUAAAAGAAUACGUCAUAAAUCUGAGUAAUAAUGUGAACUAAAUUUUCCAACGUUUGCAAGAAGUAAUUAUAGGGGUAUAGUAGAGAAAACAUGUCCCAGGCACGGGAAAAUCUGACUGUUUCCAACGAUGGAGAUUAAAAACACUAAGUCCAGUAAAAAUAUUAAAGAAAGAGAAGAUUGCGUUUCAAAUAUCAACAGAAGACAUGAUUACAAAAGGUACGAUCCGAUUUGAUUAAUAAUCUUAGAUGCUAUUUUUGAAAGGAUCCGGGUACACGUGUACAGACACCCCUAAAGUACAAAGUGCAAACCUGCGUUUGAUUGUGUUACAAUACUUACAGCAUAUAAUGGUACUUAUACAAAAUGCAUUCCAAACCACACGUACAAGUACGCCUUGUCUUUUAACUUGGUUCUGUAAAACGAGCUGCAGUAUGGAAGUUUGUUAUAUUGACAGUAUGGAAGUUUGUUAUAUUGACAUUAUGAAAUUUUGUAAAAUUGACAGUAUGGAAUUUGGUUAUAUUGAUAUCAUGGAAUUGUAAUAUAUAUACACUAUGAAGUUUUGUUUAUAUUAACAGUAUGAAAUUUUGUUACAAUGACAGUAUGGAAUUUGUUACAUUGACUGUACUGGAUUUCGUUUAUACUGAAAGUAUGAAAUUUUGUUAUAUUGACAGUAUGAAUUUUGUUAUAUUGACAGUAUGGAAUUUCUGUUAUUAUCAAAACCAACCUAUAAAUAACAAAUGACUGUAUUGAUUUAAGAUUUAUUAUUAAGUAAAACAUGCGCGUAAAUUUCUUACUAUAAGAAGCUAUUUUAUUAUUAUUCUU